GGCCCGGUUCGGUUUUUGAAGACAUGGAACCGGAUCCGGAUCCGGUCCAAACCGGUCCGGUUCGGUUUUUGACCGGUUUUUGACUUUUUGGUCAACUCGGUUUUUUUCCGGUUUGGUUCGGUGCGGUUUGGUUUGGAUUUCCAGUUCGCCGGUUUGAGUGCCCACCCCUAGCCACAAGUACCAAGAGGGCAAGCCCAUGCCUUCUCUUAGCUAGUUGCACGUGCUCCCCAUUUAGAAUGGUUCCCACACCUAGCAUGGAGGUAAGGCAACUUGCCUCACCUUUCACUACAAAAGGAAAAGCCCACCUCCCAGCUAGGCCUCAUCCCAUGGGCUGGGCUUGAAAAGUCAAUCUGGUCGGGACAGGCAGAAAUAGGCCUACUUUAUUUUUGUCAAUUCUUUAUUUUUUGUUCUAUGUUUUAGUGUGUUUUUAUAUUUUCAAAUUUUUUCAUAGUUCUCUAUUUACAUUUAUCUAUAUGUUUAUGUCUCCAUUUCUUUCUUUGUUCAUAACUUCAUAGUUCUUUUUUCUUUUUUUUCUGUAAAUAUGAAGAUAUAGAUAGUUAUACAACCACCAUAUUAAUAAAAUUAUAUUUUAUCCCAUACUUCAUUUUUUCGUAGUUCUUACAAUGAUAAUAAAUAAUUAUUUUUUUAUAUAUUUCUUUAUAUGUAUGUGAACCUGUGGGAAAACAACAUGCUUAACAGAUAUUCAAACUUUAAGUAUUUUUCAACAUUGAAGCCACUACACUAAUAGGAGAAUCAUGCUUGAAAAAUUUAUGUGACUAAUGUUUUGUAUUUCUUUCCUCAAUGCAUCAUAUUUGAACCACUCUCAAUGCAUCUCAGCAUUCAAUAUAUACAAGGUAUUAAAAGUUGUUACAGGUCUGAAAACACAAACAUUUACAGAACUAUUAACAAACAAUUGAGAUAACUAAAUGUUACUAAUAUGUUCAUAAUUUCACAUGAUUUUAUAUCCUUUUUACUUAGAUUUGUGAAUUAAUUUGGACUAAAGAUGGUGAUUUUAGUUAUUUUCUGGUUUUUCAGCUUAUGAGUCCCAAAAUUUAUAAAUUCGCCAAAUAUUCCUCAUAAUAAAGUUUAACAUGAUUCCAAUUAGAGAUGGAAGAUAGCAUUUUGAAGUUUGUCCGUAAAUAUUUUCAUAAUUUUUGAAGACUGCUAAGGUGCCCAUUUUAAUUAGACAACUCAGCCUAAACUAAUUCCCGGAGAAUACUAAGUCAGCAGGGGUAUUUUGGCCAUAACCCAACUCAUACGACAUCGAAUUGAGGCACAUCACAUAUGGCUGAAAAGAAGACAUCCAAAGCUGUCCAAGAGUGGUCGUACGCAAUUUUCGGAGGUCAAGAAGGUGUUCAAAUGGCAUUCGUAAAAAGGAUCAUGUGCAGUUUCCUUGAAGUUUUAGGAAACUUAGUUUUAAUUACCUUUUCUAGUUAGGAACUAUUUUGGAAAUCAAAUCUUCAUGUAAGCCCACUUUUUUAGGCCCAUUCUAACUAGGUUUUAGGUUCUGUUUAGAGUGGAGGUCGGGGGCCUCAAAGGGUAUAUACCAGAAAUUUCAGAAUUCAACUGGAGAGCAAGGAAGAGUGACCGUGCCUCGAAACUCUAAGGGUUUUUCUUCUCUUUCUCCAUGUUUUAUUUUUGCUUUGUU
rnacentral:lncRNA from 1 species